rnacentral:rRNA from 1 species
UACGUAGGGUGCGAGCGUUAAUCGGAAUUACUGGGCGUAAAGCGUGCGCAGGCGGUUUUGUAAGCCAGAUGUGAAAGCCCCGGGCUCAACCUGGGAACUGCAUUUGGGACUGCAAGGCUGGAGUACGGCAGAGGGAGGUGGAAUUCCACGUGUAGCAGUGAAAUGCGUAGAGAUGUGGAGGAACACCGAUGGCGAAGGCAGCCUCCUGGGCUAGUACUGACGCUCAUGCACGAAAGCGUGGGGAGCAAACAGG